UUCCCCAAACUGCUAAACUCCAUUCUAGUUCCUACACAGUGUCCUUCUCAAUGGCAAAGGGGCAAGAAGAAAUGCAAGCAAACCAUUUCUAGAUGCAUCCUGGCACCGGAAAGCCUCAAACAGGCAG